rnacentral:tRNA from 1 species
GGAGAGUUGGCCGAGUGGUCGAAGGCACCUCACUGCUAACGAGGCGCGGCGGAAGUCGCCAUAGGUUCGAAUCCUAUACUCUCCGCCA